ACCCCACACUGGUUCUUUGUGUGCUGAGAACAUUUUGGAAGAUCUUGGUAUACGAUCUCAAGGAUUUUGCCAUACAAAAAGAUAGCAGCAAGGAAGGACCUGAGCAAAAAUGUCUAUUGGUGAAUUACACACCGAUGCCUUUCUAAAAUCCUUGGUUUUUGAACCUGAAAAUAUGCAACACUGGUUUCGAGGCAUGUUGACUAUUUUUUCUUAUAAGAAGAUGAUGUCAACUGUCUGUGAAAAACCUCCAACAGAACCACCUCUGGCUACUAGCUAUGAAGCAGAAGAAAAAUAUGUAAAUUGGAUGAAAUCCGAUCGGUUGGCACGUUAUUGCAUGCUUUCAACCAUGCCUGACAAAACAAAGGAAACAUAUAUACACUAUGACUCAGCACAUGAGAUGUGGUAAGCAAUGACAGAGGAAGUCUUUGCUGAGUGUCAUCGUUUAUAUCAAACGAAAAAGAAUCAGAACCCUGAAAAGGAGGAAGAGACUGAUAAGGAUUUUGAAUAGCGAGUAAAGAGUUGGAGAAGUUGGAGAGUAGUUUUAUUUAGUAAUUUUUAUUGUUAGUUGAACAAUUUAAAUUUCUUUAUUUUGUUUUAGAAAUUUUAGAUUUCUUUAAACAAAGAAAACUACGGUCUAGAAAUUUAGUUUAU